rnacentral:rRNA from 1 species
UACGUAGGGGGGCAAGCGUUGUCCGGAAUCAUUGGGCGUAAAGCGCGCGUAGGCGGCCCGGUAAGUCCGUUGUGAAAGUCAAGGGCUCAACCCUUGAAAGCCGGUUGAUACUGUCGGGCUAGAGUCCGGAAGAGGCGAGUGGAAUUCCCGGUGUAGCGGUGAAAUGCGCAGAUAUCGGGAGGAACACCAAUGGCGAAGGCAGCUCGCUGGGACGGUACUGACGCUGAGACGCGAAAGCGUGGGGAGCAAACAGG